GGAGAUGUAGCUCAGUGGUAGAGCACUUGCCUAGUAUGCAUGGGGCCCUAGUUUCAAUCCCUAGUACCA
rnacentral:tRNA from 1 species